CCGCGGUGGCGGAACUGGCAGACGCGCUAGCCUUAGGAGCUAGUCCCAUUUUUUUGGGGUGGGGGUUCAACUCCCUUCCGCGGCA
rnacentral:tRNA from 1 species